UAGCUAUUCAUCCAGCUUGAGAUCUUUCUUCACUGGCUUGGAAAAACAGGUUUUAUGAUCCCGAAAUAGCGUGGGUAGCAUUUACAGUCCUUCUUGCUUGACUGACAACCCGCUCCUUAUAAUGCAGACUGACCCAGUAAGGAUGGGGUAGCAGAGAUUAGAAUGUAUAACACCACCACAUAGUGAUCAACAGCUUGUGAAAUAUACACUUUGACCAAAGACAAGUUUCUGGGAGAGAAUACAGUUGUUGAGAUCUGGAACUUGAACCUCAACAGUGAUGUUGUGAUGUAGUUGAAGCAGCACAAACAGCGAGCCCUAAAUCUGUAUCCCACCAACUGGAUUAACACACCACACAACAUGUCUGCAAUUGAGCAGUUGUCAAUCACUCUGGAACAUGAUAUUGACGAGCAGUAUCAGUAUCAACCGGGCGAGGUGGUGCGUGGCGCCAUAUGUAUCAAAUCCUCCAGACCCACCUUCAUAAGGACAAUAUUCAUCACGAUAGUGGGGGAGGGCUCAGUCGGGUGGGACGAUGAGAGUUCCGGAGAGACGUACACGGCCAGCGAGACAUACAUUAACGCGUCUAAAGUUGUCAUUGACGCUCGGGGAGGACGACCGAAGGGGAUUCACGUCGGCAACAACGACUUCCCCUUCGAAUACCAGCUUCCUGAAAACCUCCCGUCUUCGUACAUCGGAAAAUACGGGAGUGUAACAUACCUAAUGAAAGCCACGGUCAAGGGAGACAAGUCUAUUGACCAAGCUAUUACAAGUGAGCCGUUUCUGUGUUUACGGAGGAGUCCUUUGCCAGAUUUCAUAGAAACACCAUUAGAAUUGGAACGAAAUCAGUGUUUCUGGGCUUCGUGCACAUUCGGGAAUGUUUAUGUUCGAGCCGGACUUAACAAACAAGGUGGCGUGCCGGGAGAAGAUUUGUUUGUUCAUGCGGAAGUGAAAAACAAAAGUCGGCGUACGAUCACUGCCGUUCAGGCAUCUAUCAUCAUGCAUAGUACAUACAAUGCCAAGAAGUACACCACAAACUUUCGACAGAUAGUAAACAAGAAACGCGAUGAGUAUGACCUAACCUACAAUGAUGGAAGGCGAUGGUCAUAUGUUCGUCUCACUGUUCCACCAUACAUACCGGAAUCAAACUUGGAAUACUGCGAUAUUAUCGACCUGUCGUAUCUUUUCCAGUUUCGGGUGGAGUUAACAGGGGGGGUUGAAGUCAAACUUGAAGCUCCUCUCCUGAUCGGAGCUCAUCCGGCUGGAUUGGAAAUUCCGAAACAAGAGAAGCCGAAUAACAACAUCAAUAGUCAGUGGACAGUGAAAAUGAAGGGGGUUGUACUGGACAAUGUAGGCAACGGGUUCGAUGAACGUGACACAGUCAAUGACUGGCAUGGGGGAGUGCCACCAGAGCUCCGGAGUGACGACAGGAGUGUCAUCAACAAUCCUCUGUUUCGUAACAACUCUUUCAUGAAUCGUGGCGGGCGUCCUGGGAUGAGGAACAUACCAGAUGAACAGCCAGAAAUCAUCGAGAACACCAAAUUAUGAAGAGAGUUAUAGAAACUAUUAAUCAUAUAUUCUGUUUUGGGUUGCUACUGGUCAAAAUAUUUACUAUAUGCAAAUUUGUAGAUAAAAACUGGUUUGAGACUUAUAGAUAGCCAUUGUAGUGUUUCUGAUCAAUUUACAUUAAUAUUUGGUAAAUUAAUGUGAAAUUGACGUAAAAUAAUGGUUUUGUCCAUGAAUCAUCCUAUAAAAUAAAAGAGAAAUCCCAAAAGACAUUCAUGCAAUUAACAAGGAAAUGCCCUGUCAAUCACAGGCACCUCAACUGACAUUGAUGAGCUUCAUGGAAAAUCACAUAUCAAUUUCGUGUACAUAGUUUGACAGUUUAUUGACAAGCCUUGUCAAGUUUGUGUUGUAAAUAUCACUGAAAUGGAUUAGCAUGUGUACAGGAAUAUAUAUAUUACCCAGUGACCAUCAAGUGCAAUGGACAUACUAUAGACAAGCUAUGAACAAAGUUACCUUCAAGAACUUUCCAAGUUUGUACCGUGCACAUGUUGAUUACUGUGGAUGAGCAAUGUAUCAGUGCUUUUUUACCAAUGCUUUCAUGAAAUCCACAGAAAGUGGAAAUGUUUCUGAAUAUGCUGAGAGCUGGAUGUGUUUGGAUUCUUGUAACAUUCUUCAGAUGUUUUCUUUGAUCAACAACAAAACAAGAAAGUAAUUAUAGACCAACGAGGGUGCAUUUCUUUUGAUGCUCAGUAUAUGCAACACAACUGGACACUUUCACAAGCAGCAACAUAUGUAUUAUAUAUAGGAGAGGAUUUUACUGUAAACAUUUUACUCCCAAAGAUUCCAACCAUGUCAUAUUUUCAACACACAAAUACUGUAUCUGAGCAAUUUGAUACAAGUUCCUAGUACUGGGUUAUUAUAAAUACUGUAUUUGUCAUGAUUCAUGGUACCUCUCCUGCAAGCAAGCAGUACUGAUCACCAUAUUUGUCAACAACAGACUUGAAUAAUGAAAAGUAAAACGUGGUAAUGGAGAUCAAUGUUUUGCUAUAACUUGGGACAAGGUGACUUAGCAUACAGUAAAUCUUUCAAUGUGGAUUCAGACUGUGACAAGCAUUUACUGCGUCCUCUCAUUAUGUCUGUGCUGCUAAUUACCAAACAUAUGGGGUAAUCAAAAUCCUGCUAUCAGUCAUAUAUUUCUAUGUCACUGAACUAUGUGUUUCAGCAGUGGGGUACAUUGUAUUGAAGCAUUGUGAUUGUUUCACGAUACGCCUACCUAUGUAUCGACCAGGGAUAUAAUUCUAUAUUGAUAUUCAACAAGUCAUAAUUUACAAAUUUUUGCUAUAGCCCAGCCUGUGUUACAUUCCCAGGUCAUACAAGAAAAUGUUAGAUCUGAUUUCAUAACACUAAACAAGCCUGGAGUAACCAGUUGUGCGAGUUACCACAAACUGGUUGAUAGUGACAACCUCUUGGUAGCCGGAUGGAGCAUUGAGAAUGUCAUGCAACAACAGUGCAAUCAAAGUAUGAGGACUUAAGUACUGGGAUAUGUAUCGAUACCUACGGUGGGCGUAUCGUGAUACCCCUAGUACAUUGCUGUUUAGGUACAAGUAUGUUCCCAGUAAACUUUCCAUCCUGUCAAACAUUGGAAAUAAAGUCGGUGUAUGUAA
rnacentral:misc_RNA from 1 species